ACAAAUUCAUAUCCUAAAUUAUUUGCAAACCACAAUUUUGAAGAGGUGUGCACUGGACUCUGAUGAGGUACUUUGUGGAAGUGUGGUGUGGGGAGACACUUCAAGGAUUCAAGGACUAUUUUAGAAGGUAAUGUAUUAUUGGUUGCGUAGGAGCUCAAAAGAGGCCAUAACCGGAAUGCAAUUCUAUUAAUACGGAUACUGAUUGACAUGUCCUAUAGGGGUCUAAACCUUUACUACUUCUGGGAGGUACACAUGAAGAGGGGACCCUUGAUGACACAACUUGAUGCUGAUAUUUCAGGAAGAUAAGGGAGUGGAAAGGAAAAAUUCCAUCUUUUCUUGGAAGCAAAGAACGUGACAGAAUCGAAAAAUAGGCAAAAGAGAAGGAGAGGGCGCUGCCAGCCUAACGAUGGUUACAUUUCUAUCAAGGAGAGAGUGCUCACAUUUCCUAGUUCUCAUUGAACAGAAGCUCCCAACUUUUGGCUAUUGUGGCUUAUUACCCUUUUCCCACUAAAGCUCAAGCCAUCUUAUCUCCCUCUCCCUCUCCCUCACACUGGUUGGUUAGAAUUAUUGGUUUACACCGAGAUGUGUACAUAGUGUGGACUGUGGAGUCCAUCUUUCAUUUUCACCAUUCCUGAAAGCAAAUCAAUUCAAACUCCCG
rnacentral:lncRNA from 1 species